rnacentral:rRNA from 1 species
GAUGCGAGAGUAGAGCAUAUCAAUAAGCGGAGGAAAAGAAACUAACAAGGAUUCCCUAGUAACGGCGAGUGAAGCGGGAAGAGCUCAAAUUUGAAAUCUUCAAGGGUUCUACCUUUACGAAUUGUAGUUUAUAAGAAGUGUUUUCUGUUAGUAGAGUGGCUAAAAGUUCUUUGGAAUAGGACAUCAUAGAGGGUGAGAAUCCCGUAUUUGUACAGUUACUUUCUAGCUGUGUGAUACACUUUCAACGAGUCGGAUUGUUUGGGAAUGCAGUCCAAAAUGGGUGGUAAAUUUCAUCUAAAGCUAAAUAUUGGCGAGAGACCGAUAGCGAACAAGUACCGUGAGGGAGAGAUGAAAAGAACUUUGAAAAGAGAGUUAAACAGUACGUGAAAUUGUCAAAAGGGAAGCGUUUGACACCAGUGUUGUUUAGUUGAAAAUCAAUUCAAUAGUUUUUGAUUCUAAGUAGUAUUGACUUCAUCAGCUUGCUGCUUUCUUCUCAGAAAUUAUUGAAUGCACUUUUCAGUUAACAAGACAACAUCAAUUUCUUUUGUUGUAAAAGGGUCAUUGGAAGGUGGCUUUCUUUUCGGAGAAAGUGUUUAUAGCCUUUGAUCUCUGCAACCGGAGAGACUGAGGUCUGCAGCGUAGACUCUUCGGGGUUAGAUACAUUUGUGCUAAGCUAUAGCUUUUUAUAGACAACUUGUUGACUAUAUUUAGUCUUGUGGCUUACUCGCUUAUGCUAUUUUACCUACGCUUAGGAUGUUGA